GACGAACGCUGGCGGCGUGCUUAACACAUGCAAGUCGAACGGAAAGGCCCUGCUUUUGUGGGGUGCUCGAGUGGCGAACGGGUGAGUAACACGUGAGUAACCUGCCCUUGACUUUGGGAUAACUUCAGGAAACUGGGGCUAAUACCGGAUAGGAGCUCCUGCUGCAUGGUGGGGGUUGGAAAGUUUCGGCGGUUGGGGAUGGACUUGCGGCUUAUCAGCUUGUUGGUGGGGUAGUGGAGUACCAAGGCUUUGACGGGUAGCCGGCCUGAGAGGGUGACCGGCCACAUUGGGACAGAGAUACGGCCCAGACUCCUACGGGAGGCAGCAGUGGGGAAUAUAGCACAAUGGGCGGAAGCCGGAUGCAGCAACGCCGCGUGCGGGAUGACGGCCUUCGGGUUGUAAACCGCUUUCGCCUGUGACGAAGCGUGAGUGACGGUAAUGGGUAAAGAAGCACCGGCUAACUACGUG
rnacentral:rRNA from 1 species